GAUGAACGCUGGCGGCGUGCCUAACACAUGCAAGUCGAGCGUGAAGGUUCGGAUUGAAGCUUCGGCAGAGAGAAGAACUGGAAAGCGGCGGACGGGUGAGUAACGCGUGGGCAACCUGCCCCAUACAGCCGGAUAGCCACUGGAAACGGUGAUUAAUACGGCAUAAGACCACAGUGCCGCAUGGUACAGGGGUCAAAGAUUUAUCGGUAUGGGAUGGGUCCGCGUCUGAUUAGCUAGUUGGUGGGGUAAAGGCCUACCAAGGCGAUGAUCAGGAGCCGGCCUGAGAGGGUGAACGGCCACAUUGGAACUGAGAAACGGUCCAAACUCCUACGGGAGGCAGCAGUGGGGAAUAUUGCACAAUGGGGGAAACCCUGAUGCAGCAACGCCGCGUGAAGGAUGAAGAAUUUCGGUUUGUAAACUUCUAUCGAUGGGGAAGAAAAAAAUGACGGUACCCAAGUAAGAAGCCCCGGCUAACUAUGUGCCAGCCGCCGCAGUAAUAC
rnacentral:rRNA from 1 species